GGUCUUAUAGUGUAGUGGUUAUCACUCAGGAUUUUGAGGAAUUUUGCGGAUUAGUGCAAAGCUUGAUUUCCUGGAACCCAGGUUCGAACCCUGGUAAGACCU
rnacentral:tRNA from 1 species